CCCGGAGAUGCAUGGAAUAAGCAAGCUAGUUAAGCAGAUAGCUAUGUGACCUGUUAGCAAAGAUUACGAUAACUUACCCUUUCAUAUGUGGUGUUAGCUAGCUAGCUAUAUUAGCUACUAUGCUAGCUAGCUGGCUAGAUAAACAUGGUGUUAAGAUAUCAGAUAGGAGCUAAUAGCCAACGUAGUUAGCUAACGUUACCUGGUUAUCAUUUUGAACAUGCACCAUGUUUAGCAAUACUAUAUGAUAUGAGCGAUGGAGACAGAUGUGAGGAGAUGUGAAAGGGAGCGUAGUUAAAGCCUUGCUCUAUCCAAUCGUAGCAGUAGGAUGAAGUCAGUUAUUAGUUAUUAGGCUAUUAUUAGUUAUUAGGCCAUUAGAGUUAUUAGGCUAUUAGAGUUAUUAGGCUAUUAUAGCUAUUAGAGUUAUUAGGCUAUUAGAGUUAUUAGGCUAUUAUUAGUUAUUAGGCUAUUAUAGCUAUUAGAGUUAUUAGGCUAUUAGAGUUAUUAGGCUAUUAUUAGUUAUUAGGCUAUUAAAGUUAUUAGGCUAUUAGAGUUAUUAGGCUAUUAUUAGUUAUUAGGCUAUUAUAGCUAUUAGAGUUAAUAGGCUAUUAGAGUUAUUAGGCUAUUAUUAGUUAUUAGGCUAUUAUUAGUUAUUAGGCUAUUAGAGUUAUUAGGCUAUUAUUAGUUAUUAGGCUAUUAUAGCUAUUAGAGUUAUUAGGCUAUUAGAGUUAUUAGGCUAUUAUUAGUUAUUAGGCUAUUAAAGUUAUUAGGCUAUUAGAGUUAUUAGGCUAUUAGAUUUAUUAGGCUAUUAUUAGUUAUUAGGCUAUUAGAGUUAUUAGGCUAUUAUUAGUUAUUAGGCUAUUAAAGUUAUUAGGCUAUUAGAGUUAUUAGGCUAUUAGAUUUAUUAGGCUAUUAUUAGUUAUUAGGCUAUUAUUAGUUAUUAGGCUAUAUUAGUUAUUAGGCUAUUACAUUUAUUAGGAUAUUAUUCGUUAUUAGGCUAUUACAUUUAUUAGGAUAUUAUUCGUUAUUAGGCUAUAUUACUUAUUAGGCUAUUACAUUUAUUAGGAUAUUAUUCGUUAUUAGGCUAUUACAUUUAUUAGGUUAUUAUUAGUUAUUAUUUAUUAGGCUAUUAUUAGUUAUUAGGCUAUUAUUAGUUAUUAGGCUAUUAUUAGUUAUUAGGCUAUUAUUAGUUAUUAGGCUAUUAUUAGUUAUUAGGCUAUUAUUAGUUAUUAGGCUAUUAUUAGUUAUUAGGCUAUUAUUAGUUAUUGGGUUAUUAGGUAUUGGGCUAUUAUUAGUUAUUGGGCUAGUAUUAGUUAUUAGGCUAUUAGAUUUAUUAGGCUAUUAUUAGUUAUUGGGUUAUUAGAGUUAUUGGUUAUUAGGCUGUUAUUAGUUAUUAGGCUAUUAUUAGUUAUUAGGCUAUUAGUUGGACUGGGCGAUAUGACCAAAAUUUCAUAUCACAAUAUUUGAAAACAUUUUGAUGGUAUAUACAGUAUUUGACAGAAUUGAGUGUUUUUGAAUAAUACAGGUUUUAAAUGUGCUUUAUGAGUUGACCCUUGGGUGGCAUCACAUACAUUCUGGGAUUUCAAUGGUUCUUUCUCCAUUCUGGUUGUUUUCUACUAUUAUGGGCCCAGGUCAACAGUAGUGCACUACAUGGGGAAUAGAGGGACAUUUGGAAUGCAGCCUUAGUUAGGACAGACAUGAGGCUCUGCUGCUGACUCCUAACCCAGUUGGCGUGGCUGGCAGCUAGCUAGUCAACAUCUCCUGGGACACUCCUCUCCUCCUCCCUCCUCUCCUCUCCUCCUGAUAAGAACACGUCUGAGACCUUGGGAAGUCCAGAGGGAGAAGCAUGUUGACAAAACAGGGAGAGAGAUAUGCUUUCCUCUCCACCUCUCCUCCCCUGGCCUCUCCUCUGCCUCUCUUACUCUCCUCCCCUGGCCUCUCCUCUACCUCUCCACCUCUCCUCCCC
rnacentral:lncRNA from 1 species